rnacentral:rRNA from 1 species
CUAAGUGUUGUUGGGUAGGGGAGCGUUCUGUAAGCCUGUGAAGGUGUACUGUGAGGUAUGCUGGAGGUAUCAGAAGUGCGAAUGCUGACAUAAGUAACGAUAAAGCGGGUGAAAAGCCCGCUCGCCGGAAGACCAAGGGUUCCUGUCCAACGUUAAUCGGGGCAGGGUGAGUCGACCCCUAAGGCGAGGCCGAAAGGCGUAGUCGAUGGGAAACAGGUUAAUAUUCCUGUACUUGGUGUUACUGCGAAGGGGGGACGGAGAAGGCUAUGUUGGCCGGGCGACGGUUGUCCCGGUUUAAGCGUGUAGGCUGGUUUUCCAGGCAAAUCCGGAAAAUCAAGGCUGAGGCGUGAUGACGAGGCACUACGGUGCUGAAGCAACAAAUGCCCUGCUUCCAGGAAAAGCCUCUAAGCAUCAGGUAACAUCAAAUCGUACCCCAAACCGACACAGGUGGUCAGGUAGAGAAUACCAAGGCGCUUGAGAGAACUCGGGUGAAGGAACUAGGCAAAAUGGUGCCGUAACUUCGGGAGAAGGCACGCUGAUAUGUAGGUGAAGCGACUUGCUCGUGGAGCUGAAAUCAGUCGAAGAUACCAGCUGGCUGCAACUGUUUAUUAAAAACACAGCACUGUGCAAACACGAAAGUGGACGUAUACGGUGUGACGCCUGCCCGGUGCCGGAAGGUUAAUUGAUGGGGUUAGCGGUAACGCGAAGCUCUUGAUCGAAGCCCCGGUAAACGGCGGCCGUAACUAUAACGGUCCUAAGGUAGCGAAAUUCCUUGUCGGGUAAGUUCCGACCUGCACGAAUGGCGUAAUGAUGGCCAGGCUGUCUCCACCCGAGACUCAGUGAAAUUGAACUCGCUGUGAAGAUGCAGUGUACCCGCGGCAAGACGGAAAGACCCCGUGAACCUUUACUAUAGCUUGACACUGAACAUUGAGCCUUGAUGUGUAGGAUAGGUGGGAGGCUUUGAAGUGUGGACGCCAGUCUGCAUGGAGCCGACCUUGAAAUACCACCCUUUAAUGUUUGAUGUUCUAACGUUGGCCCCUGAUCGGGGUUGCGGACAGUGUCUGGUGGGUAGUUUGACUGGGGCGGUCUCCUCCUAAAGAGUAACGGAGGAGCACGAAGGUUGGCUAAUCCUGGUCGGACAUCAGGAGGUUAGUGCAAUGGCAUAAGCCAGCUUGACUGCGAGCGUGACGGCGCGAGCAGGUGCGAAAGCAGGUCAUAGUGAUCCGGUGGUUCUGAAUGGAAGGGCCAUCGCUCAACGGAUAAAAGGUACUCCGGGGAUAACAGGCUGAUACCGCCCAAGAGUUCAUAUCGACGGCGGUGUUUGGCACCUCGAUGUCGGCUCAUCACAUCCUGGGGCUGAAGUAGGUCCCAAGGGUAUGGCUGUUCGCCAUUUAAAGUGGUACGCGAGCUGGGUUUAGAACGUCGUGAGACAGUUCGGUCCCUAUCUGCCGUGGGCGCUGGAGAACUGAGGGGGGCUGCUCCUAGUACGAGAGGACCGGAGUGGACGCAUCACUGGUGUUCGGGUUGUCAUGCCAAUGGCACUGCCCGGUAGCUAAAUGCGGAAGAGAUAAGUGCUGAAAGCAUCUAAGCACGAAACUUGC